rnacentral:tRNA from 1 species
GUAAUAUAAGCUAAUCAAGCUAGUGGGUUCAUACCCCAAAAAUGAGAGAUCUCUUUUACUA